AUAUACGGUUUUAAAAAAUAAUUUUCAUUCAACUCACAAUUCUAUGCUACAGUCCUUAUUUCAUUUUAUCAAUCACUAUGCUCUAUCAGCUAUCUAUGGUUCUAUUUCAAUUCUCUCUUGAUUUGUAAGGUUAUGUUAUUCUUUCUUCGGUUAAUCUUUGUUUAAUCAGCUGUCUCUGCUUCCUUCGUCGAUGUGGUUAUCUCUUGAUGUCCAAACUUACGAUGAUUCCUUGAAUUCAAUGUUUAUGAUAUCUUGAUCUUGAAUAAAGGUAUGAUGACCAUAACAAGUUGUAUCUUCGGUGAAAAUUUUAAUGUUUUUCUGUUAUAUAAAGCUCUUUACCUUGACAUACCUGAUUGAAAUAAAGUAAAUAGAAACUGUGGAAUUUUGAAUCUCAGAAAUUAUAAUUCCUCACAGAAAAAACUGAAAAAAUAAGAAUAUCAUCUAUGUAAUGUAUACAAAAUUGAUCAAAUUUGUCUAGUAUACUAUUCAGAGCUUUAACUGAACUAGAACAAGCUGAUUGGAGUCCAAAUGGUACAACCAAGAAUUGAUAAACUUGUCCAUCUAUCAUGAAUCCGGUAUAUUGUUGUGAUUCCUUAUGAAGAGGGAUCAACCAAAAACUAUGUAAAAGAUCUAAUUUAGUAAAAUAUUUUGCAUGUGUUAUUCUGCCAAAAACAUGAUUCAUAUUUAUGGGGGUUUCAUAUUGGGGUUUCGUAUAUUGAUUCAAAUUUCUAGCGUCUAAACAAAUUCUAAUGUCACCUGAUUUUUUUUAACAAUUACUAUAGGAUUUAUAUAACAUGUUUUGCUUUUAACUAUAAUUCCCUUUUGUUGAAGCUUUUCUAACUCAAAUUUAACUUGCUCCCUGUAGCAAUAUGGAAUAGGAUAGUUUCUACUUUUAAAAUUUUGUAU